CAAGAGCGUAUGUAAAAGUUGUUGCAGUUAAAAAGCUCGUAGUUGAACCUUGGGUUUGGUUGGCCGGUCCGCUUUUUUGCGAGUACUGGAUUCAACCGAGCCUUUCCUUCUGGCUAACCAGUCGUUUCGGCGGCUGGCGAACCAGGAUUUUUACUUUGAGAAAAUUAGAGUGUUCAAAGCAGGCAUUAGCUUGAAUAUAUUAGCAAGGAAUAAUAGAAUAGGACGUUAUGGUUCUAUUUUGUUGGUUUCUAGGACCAUCGUAAUGAUUAAUAGGGACGGUCGGGGGCAUCAGUAUUCAGUUGUCAGAGGUGAAAUUCUUGGAUUUACUGAAGACUAACUACUGCGAAAGCAUUUGCCAAGGACGUUUUCAUUAA
rnacentral:rRNA from 1 species